UACAGAGGGGGCAAGCGUUGUCCGGAAUUACUGGGCGUAAAGCGUGCGCAGGCGGUUUUGUAAGUUUGUCGUGAAAGCCCCGGGCUCAACCUGGGAAUUGCGAUGAAGACUGCAAGGCUUGAAUCUGGCAGAGGGGGGUAGAAUUCCACGUGUAGCAGUGAAAUGCGUAGAGAUGUGGAGGAACACCGAUGGCGAAGGCAGCCCCCUGGGUCAAGAUUGACGCUCAUGCACGAAAGCGUGGAGAGCAAACAGG
rnacentral:rRNA from 1 species